UGAAAAUCAAGAGUGAUACCUACACUUUUGGGAGAACACGCAUCGGGUUUCAGAAUGAAAUCUUUUCCAUUUGAUGAGAGAAUUUGAAAAAAUAAAAUAAAAAGAGGGAUUAGAAAAUUAGGGAUUAAAGUAGAUUGAAGAAAAAUUGGGGAUUUCAAAAACGAAGAGUAAGAGUUUGAAAUUACCUGCUCCGUCAGAAUAAAAAUCGGCCCAGCAACAUCCAUGAGAUUCUUCUUUGGAAGGAAAAUCGAGUUCAUCAAGUGAAGAAGGUUGUGGCUUUGGUGAUUAGAGAGGGAGAGAGAGUUUGAAAUUUGAAAUUUGAGAAUCUGUUUUUCAAUAUCAGUCAGACAAAUUUGUUGGUAAUGAAAGUGACUUGACACUGUUCCUUUGCUAAGAAUGAAAGGGAUAGCUGCU
rnacentral:lncRNA from 1 species